rnacentral:rRNA from 1 species
CCUACGGGCGGCUGCAGUGAGGAAUAUUGGUCAAUGGACGCGAGUCUGAACCAGCCAUGCCGCGUGCAGGAUGACGGCUCUAUGAGUUGUAAACUGCUUUUGUACGAGAGUAAACCCCGAUACGUGUAUCGGGUUGAAAGUAUCAUACGAAUAAGGAUCGGCUAACUCCGUGCCAGCAGCCGCGGUAAUACGGAGGAUCCGAGCGUUAUCCGGAUUUAUUGGGUUUAAAGGGUGCGUAGGCGGUUUGAUAAGUUAGAGGUGAAAUUUCGGGGCUCAACCCCGAAACUGCCGUUAAUACUGUCGGACUAGAGUACAGUUGCGGUAGGCGGAAUGCAUGGUGUAGCGGUGAAAUGCUUAGAGAUCAUACAGAACACCGAUUGCGAAGGCAGCUUACCAAACUACAUCUGACGUUGAGGCACGAAAGCGUGGGUAGCAAACAGGAUUAGAUACCCGAGUAGUC